rnacentral:lncRNA from 1 species
UUUUUUUGUUAGUAGAGCAAAAAUUGCAGGUCUGGCCAUUGUUGACUAGUUUUUAAAGGGCAAAAUGUAACUUUACAUUUGUUCAUACAAAAAAAGCUAAAAUAAAUGAAUUAAAAAAAAAAAAAUCAUAUUAUCUUAAUCUUCUCCACGCACCCCGACCCAAAACUAAAACCAAAACCAAGAGCACGGAAACGCCGACACCCACAACCAUCAUCUCCAACCCCGCUUGGCAUCAUCAUCCAACAAUCACCAGCAGAAUCUUCACCAAGGAGGAUAAACGCAUUCAAUCAAAAUCCAAGCAUUUUCUUGAUUUAAACGCAUAAAUGCAUAAAUUUCUCGCAAACCCAUCUCUAAUUUUGAUUCAGAAUUUGGGGAAAUUAAGGAAAAAUGAUGACAAUUGAAGGGAUGAUGGAUAGAAGGGGUGUUGGAUGAUAUAAUAUGGAAGCUUUUGAAAAGCAAAGGGGAAAAUAGGUGCAGCUUUCGGAGGCGAAGAUCCGACAACUUUCGGAGUGCGGAGAUCACUGGGUCAAUUUCUAUCUUUAAAACCGUCUCAACAACCAUACUACAAAUUCCUUCAAACGGUGUACUAAGAGCUACAAUUGAAAAGUGAGAAGGAACUCUGUACUUCUGUCUUUGCCUCCCUUAACAGAACCCUCCAAUCCUUUUUCCAUGACUGGAAUCUAGAUUUCCUACUCAGGAUCUGUGGCAGGAGUGGUGGUGCCGCCGGAUUUGGUGGCGAUGAUGAUUGGUGGAGUUGAAGGGAGAAGUGGGCCGGUGGCUCUAUUGUGGGGAAGAAGUCUUCCCUUUUCUAUUUUUUUUUUUAUAUUUGUAUUUAAUUAUUUCAACAUUACCUUUUUGCCCUUUGAAAAUCAGUCAAUACAAUAAUGGUCGAACCUUUAAUUUUUGGUCAACUAACUGAGAAAGCA